rnacentral:rRNA from 2 species
CGGCGCGGGUGAGUAACACGUGGGCAACCUGCCUGUAAGACUGGGAUAACUCCGGGAAACCGGAGCUAAUACCGGAUAACAUUUUUUCUUGCAUAAGAGAAAAUUGAAAGAUGGUUUCGGCUAUCACUUACAGAUGGGCCCGCGGUGCAUUAGCUAGUUGGUGAGGUAACGGCUCACCAAGGCAACGAUGCAUAGCCGACCUGAGAGGGUGAUCGGCCACACUGGGACUGAGACACGGCCCAGACUCCUACGGGAGGCAGCAGUAGGGAAUCUUCCGCAAUGGACGAAAGUCUGACGGAGCAACGCCGCGUGAGUGAUGAAGGCUUUCGGGUCGUAAAACUCUGUUGUUAGGGAAGAACAAGUACAAGAGUAACUGCUUGUACCUUGACGGUACCUAACCAGAAAGCCACGGCUAACUACGUGCCAGCAGCCGCGGUAAUACGUAGGUGGCAAGCGUUAUCCGGAAUUAUUGGGCGUAAAGCGCGCGCAGGCGGUUUCUUAAGUCUGAUGUGAAAGCCCACGGCUCAACCGUGGAGGGUCAUUGGAAACUGGGGAACUUGAGUGCAGAAGAGAAAAGCGGAAUUCCACGUGUAGCGGUGAAAUGCGUAGAGAUGU